CUUUACAGGAAAUCAAAAGGAUCAUGAGGAAGAGGAAUGGCAAGCGCAAGUGCCCCCCAGGCUGAGCCAGGAGCUGCCACAGCUGAAUGAGCAGGAAUUCUCAGAGGACUCCUUGGAUGAAAUUUACUUGACUCCUUCAAUUCAACGUGACCUGUCUGACUGCCACCAGCCUUAUAGCGGCACCUUGUCCUCAUUUGAUGAUCAGCUCACAUGCUGUGCUCUGGAUGUAGCCUCUCCCACCCAGGAGACCUGUCCCCAAGGGACUUGCAGUGGAGACUGGAGCUACUACCUGUCAGAUGUGCAGGCUUCACAGACACAGCUGGAAUCAAGUACCCAGUUGCCCAUUUCUUUGGGACUAGAGCCGGAUCAAGGGAUCGACUGUGGGAAUGACUUAGCCAGGCGGGGCCUUUCCUCCACCACCUGCAGCUUCACAGCCAAUGCUGAUUCUGGGAACCAAUGUCCCUUUCAAGGAAAUCAAAAGGAUCAUGAGGAAGAGGAAUGGCAAGCGCAAGUGCCCCCCAGGUAACUGUGGAUUUGUGGGCUGGUAGCUCAAUAGUGACACCUGGAGACCACGGGUCCAGGAGAAAAUCCGAUGGGAAGUGAUCAAUAGAACAGUCUCAUCCAUUCAUCCAACUGCAAAUUACCCCUUUAAUAAU